CGUGCACCAGUGGGGUCCCUUAGCCAGGCCUGCACCCUCUCACAAUCUGGAAACCCUCAGGGGAUGUUGGAGAGCCAGUUUUGGCCCAAUCCCGCAGGCCAGGCUGAGGGACCCCACUGGUGCACU
rnacentral:pre_miRNA from 1 species